rnacentral:rRNA from 1 species
GCAUAUCCAUAGCGGAGGAAAAGAAACCCAACAGGGAUUGCCUUAGUAGCGGCGAGUGAAGCGGCAAAAGCUCAGAUUUGAAAUCUGCCUCACGGCCGAGUUGUAAUCUGUAGAUGGCUACUCUGUAACAAGUCUUUGCUCAAGUUUUCUGGAAAGGAACAUCAUGGAGGGUGAUAAUCCCGUGAGGCAUUGGCGUCGUUGCGUGUAGAGGGUCAUCAAAGAGUCGAGUUGUUUGGGAAUGCAGCUCAAAGCGGGUGGUAGACACCAUCUAAAGCUAAAUAUUGGCGAGAGACCGAUAGCGAACAAGUACUGUGAAGGAAAGAUGAAAAGCACUUUGAAAAGAGAGUGAAAAAGUACGUGAAAUUAUUGAUACAGAAGGAUAUGCCAUUGGACGUUAUGUUUGGGCAUGCUUGUGCUUCGGCGCAGGUUUAACCCUCUCAUUUUACCAGCAUCAGUUUCGGCAGGAGGACAAACAACGCGGAAUGUAGCUGCUUGCAGUGUUAUAGACGUGUUGCAUACUCUUUGCUGGGACUGAGGCCCGCCAUUGCAGGAUGCUGGGGUAACGAUGGCAUAUCACCCGUCUUGAAACACGGACCAAGGAGUCUAUUGCAUAUGCAAGUGUUUGGGUGUAAAACCCCGGCGCGAAAUGAAAGUGAACGUAGGUUGGAGCCCGCAAGGGUGCACAAUCGGCCGAUCUUGACGUUUUACAGAUGGAUUUGAGCAAGAGCAUGUGUGAUGGGACCCGAAAGAUGGUGAACUAUACCUGGACAGGGUGAAGCCAGAGGAAACUCUGGUGGAAGCUCGUAGGCGUUCUAACGUGCAAAUUGAUGCUCAGAUCAGGGUAUAGGGGCGAAAGACUAAUCGAACCAUCUAGUAGCUGGUUCCUGCCGA